UACGUAGGGUCCGAGCGUUGUCCGGAAUUACUGGGCGUAAAGAGCUCGUAGGUGGUUUGUCGCGUUGUUCGUGAAAACUCACAGCUCAACUGUGGGCGUGCGGGCGAUACGGGCAGACUUGAGUACUGCAGGGGAGACUGGAACUCCUGGUGUAGCGGUGGAAUGCGCAGAUAUCAGGAGGAACACCGGUGGCGAAGGCGGGUCUCUGGGCAGUAACUGACGCUGAGGAGCGAAAGCGUGGGGAGCGAACAGG
rnacentral:rRNA from 1 species